rnacentral:rRNA from 1 species
AAUGAACGCUGGCGGCAUGCCUAACACAUGCAAGUCGAACGAGACCUUCGGGUCUAGUGGCGCACGGGUGCGUAACGCGUGGGAAUCUGCCCUUGGGUUCGGAAUAACAGUUAGAAAUGACUGCUAAUACCGAAUGAUGUCGUAAGACCAAAGAUUCAUCGCCCAGGGAUGAGCCCGCGUAGGAUUAGCUAGUUGGUGUGGUAAAAGCGCACCAAGGCGACGAUCCUUAGCUGGUCUGAGAGGAUGAUCAGCCACACUGGGACUGAGACACGGCCCAGACUCCUACGGGAGGCAGCAGUGGGGAAUAUUGGACAAUGGGCGAAAGCCUGAUCCAGCAAUGCCGCGUGAGUGAUGAAGGCCUUAGGGUUGUAAAACUCUUUUACCGGGAUGAUAAUGACAGUACCGGGANAAUAAGCUCCGGCUAACUCCGUGCCACCCGCCGCGGUAAU